rnacentral:rRNA from 1 species
UGGGGAAUAUUGCACAAUGGGCGCAAGCCUGAUGCAGCCAUGCCGCGUGUGUGAAGAAGGCCUUCGGGUUGUAAAGCACUUUCAGCGAGGAGGAAGGUGGUGAACUUAAUACGUUCAUCAAUUGACGUUACUCGCAGAAGAAGCACCGGCUAACUCCGUGCCAGCAGCCGCGGUAAUACGGAGGGUGCAAGCGUUAAUCGGAAUUACUGGGCGUAAAGCGCACGCAGGCGGUUUGUUAAGUCAGAUGUGAAAUCCCCGGGCUCAACCUGGGAACUGCAUUUGAAACUGGCAAGCUAGAGUCUCGUAGAGGGGGGUAGAAUUCCAGGUGUAGCGGUGAAAUGCGUAGAGAUCUGGAGGAAUACCGGUGGCGAAGGCGGCCCCCCUGGACGAAGACUGACGCUCAGGUGCGAAAAGCGUGGGGAGCAAAACAGGAUUAGAUACCCUGGUAGUCCACGCUGUAAAACGAUGUCGAUUUGGAGGUUGUGCCCUUGAGGCGUGGCUUCCGGAGCUAACGCGUUAAAUCGACCGCCUGGGGAGUACGGCCGCAAGGUUAAAAACUU